UACGUAGGGGGCAAGCGUUGUCCGGAAUCAUUGGGCGUAAAGAGCGUGUAGGCGGCUCGAUAAGUCUGCUGUGAAAGUCCAGGGCUCAACCCUGGGAUGCCGGUGGAUACUGUCGGGCUCGAGUCCGGAAGAGGAGUGUGGAAUUCCUGGUGUAGCGGUGAAAUGCGCAGAUAUCAGGAAGAACACCCGUGGCGAAGGCGGCUCUCUGGAACGCAACUGACGCUGAGACGCGAAAGCGUGGGGAGCAAACAGG
rnacentral:rRNA from 1 species